rnacentral:tRNA from 1 species
UUAUAACUUAGUGUAUAAGGCACAUUAGAUUUUGAGGCUGAAAGGGAUAAUAUUAUUUAUUAGUUAUAAU